rnacentral:rRNA from 1 species
UACGUAGGCCCCGAGCGUUGUCCGGAUUUAUUGGGCGUAAAGCGAGCGCAGGUGGUUUAUUAAGUCUGGUGUAUAAGGCAGUGGCUCAACCAUUGUAUGCAUUGGAAACUGGUAGACUUGAGUGCAGGAGAGGAGAGUGGAAUUCCAUGUGUAGCGGUGAAAUGCGUAGAUAUAUGGAGGAACACCGGUGGCGAAAGCGGCUCUCUGGCCUGUAACUGACACUGAGGCUCGAAAGCGUGGGGAGCAAACAGG